rnacentral:rRNA from 1 species
CUUUACUGUAGCUUUGUAUUGGACUUUGAACAGAUCUGUGUAGGAUAGGUGGGAGGCUUUGAAGCAGGGUCGCUAGAUCUUGUGGAGCCAACGUUGAAAUACCACCCUGGUGUGUUUGAGGUUCUAACCUAGGUCCAUUAUCUGGAUCGGGGACAGUGCAUGGUAGGCAGUUUGACUGGGGCGGUCUCCUCCCAAAGUGUAACGGAGGAGUUCGAAGGUACGCUAGGUACGGUCGGACAUCGUGCUAAUAGUGCAAUGGCAUAAGCGUGCUUAACUGCGAGACUGACAAGUCGAGCAGAUGCGAAAGCAGGACAUAGUGAUCCGGUGGUUCUGUAUGGAAGGGCCAUCGCUCAACGGAUAAAAGGUA